GAAUUCAACUCCUACGGGAGGCAGCAGUAGGGAAUCUUCCGCAAUGGGCGAAAGCCUGACGGAGCAACGCCGCGUGAGUGAAGAAGGAUUUCGGUUCGUAAAGCUCUGUUGUUAGGGAAGAAUGAUUAUGUAGUAACUAUACAUAGUAGAGACGGUACCUAACCAGAAGGCCACGGCUAACUACGUGCCAGCAGCCGCGGUAAUACGUAGGUGGCAAGCGUUGUCCGGAAUUAUUGGGCGUAAAGCGCGCGCAGGUGGUUUAAUAAGUCUGAUGUGAAAGCCCACGGCUCAACCGUGGAGGGUCAUUGGAAACUGUUAAACUUGAGUGCAGGAGAGAAAAGUGGAAUUCCUAGUGUAGCGGUGAAAUGCGUAGAGAUUAGGAGGAACACCAGUGGCGAAGGCGGCUUUUUGGCCUGUAACUGACACUGAGGCGCGAAAGCGUGGGGAGCAAACAGGAUUAGAAACCCCUGUAGUCCAGGCGUU
rnacentral:rRNA from 1 species